UACGAAGGGAGCUAGCGUUGUUCGGAAUCACUGGGCGUAAAGCGCACGUAGGCGGAUUUGUCAGUCAGGGGUGAAAUCCCGGGGCUCAACCUCGGAACUGCCUUUGAUACUGGCGACCUUGAGUCCGGGAGAGGUGAGUGGAACUGCGAGUGUAGAGGUGAAAUUCGUAGAUAUUCGCAAGAACACCAGUGGCGAAGGCGGCUCACUGGCCCGGUACUGACGCUGAGGUGCGAAAGCGUGGGGAGCAAACAGG
rnacentral:rRNA from 1 species